rnacentral:rRNA from 1 species
AGAGUUUGAUCAUGGCUCAGGAUGAACGCUGGCGGUAUGCUUAACACAUGCAAGUCGAACGGAACUCUUCGGAGUUUAGUGGCGGACGGGUGAGUAACGCGUGAGAAUCUGCCUUUAGGACGGGGACAACAGUUGGAAACGGCUGCUAAAACCCGAUGUGCCCUUCGGGGUGAAAUAUUUAUAGCCUGAAGAUGAGCUCGCGUCUGAUUAGCUAGUAGGUGAGGUAAUGGCUCACCUAGGCGACGAUCAGUAACUGGUCUGAGAGGAUGACCAGUCACACUGGGACUGAGACACGGCCCAGACUCCUACGGGAGGCAGCAGUGGGGAAUUUUCCGCAAUGGGCGCAAGCCUGACGGAGUAAUACCGCGUGAGGGAGGAAGGCUCUUGGGUCGUAAACCUCUUUUCUCAGGGAAGAACAAAAUGACGGUACCUGAGGAAUCAGCAUCGGCUAACUCCGUGCCAGCAGCCGCGGUAAUACGGAGGAUGCAAGCGUUAUCCGGAAUGAUUGGGCGUAAAGCGUCCGUAGGUGGUUAUGUAAGUCUGUGGUUAAAGCGUGGGGCUCAACCCCAUAAGGGCCAUGGAAACUACAAGACUUGAGCGAAGUAGGGGUAGAGGGAAUUCCCAGUGUAGCGGUGAAAUGCGUAGAGAUUGGGAAGAACACCGGUGGCGAAAGCGCUCUACUGGACUUAAACUGACACUGAGGGACGAAAGCUAGGGGAGCGAAAGGGAUUAGAUACCCCUGUAGUCCUAGCCGUAAANCGAAUGGAUACUAGGUGUUGCCCGUAUCGACCCCGGGCCAGUGCCGUAGCUAACGCGUUAAGUUCCCCGCCUGGA